CUUGCUAAUGUUACUAUAUCUUUUUUAUUUCAUUUAAAAAAAAUUGACUUCAGAUUCUGAUCUUUGAUUCAUAUUCUUAUCUUUGAAAUAAUAAUAUCAUUCAAAUAAGAAAGAAGAGAAAUAUUUGAACUUGAAUCUUUUGUUUUCUAAUUUAAAUAAUGUAAAAAUGGAUUGUAAGUAGGCGAGGGGGCGGAUGUAGCCAAGUGGAUCAAGGCAGU
rnacentral:lncRNA from 1 species